rnacentral:misc_RNA from 1 species
AAGUCGUAACAAGGUUUCCGUAGGUGAACCUGCGGAAGGAUCAUUAACACGUAUCCAAACGUUAAAACCCCCCCCCCGUGAACCUUCAUCCUGCUCUUGUAACCCGCGUAGUGAUUCAGAGACCUCUGGCUACGUGCGAACAUUGGAACAGUUACAAUCGAGCGGUAGUUCUAUAGGCAAUGUUUCCCCAAGCAGUCAGUGUCGGAAAGUGUCAUUGAUUGUGCAAGGAUAGCGCUUCUACGAUUCCUGUAGACCGUACACUCGGGCAGGAGCUUUGCCAAAGGGUCCCCAUGCCCCCUAAUAACCCCACAGUUUAAUGUGAAGCUCAAUGUAAUACAUUGGGUAAAAAAACCGAACAACUGUUAACAAUGGAUAUCUUGGUUCUC